rnacentral:rRNA from 1 species
AUUGAACGCUGGCGGCAGGCCUAACACAUGCAAGUCGAACGAGUGGCGGACGGGUGCGUAAUUUCUGGGAAACUGCCUGAUGGAGGGGGAUAACUACUGGAAACGGUAGCUAAUACCGCAUCCCAUCAGAUGUGCCCUGAUGGGAUUAGCUUGUUGGUGGGGUAACGGCUCCCCCAGGCGACGAUCCCUCGCUGGUCUGAGAGGAUGACAAGCCACACUGGUACUGAGACACGGUCCAGACUCCUACGGGAGGCAGCAGUGGGGAAUAUUGCACAAUGGGAGCAAGCCUGAGGCAGCCAUGCAGCGUGUAGGAAGAAGGCCUUCGGGUUGUAAAGUACUUUCAGCGGGGAGGCGUUACCCGCAGAAGAAGCACCGGCUAACUCCGUGCCAGCAGCCGCGGUAAUAC